rnacentral:tRNA from 1 species
GCAGUGGUGGUUCAGUGUUAGAAUUCUUGCCUACCAUGCAGGGGACCCAGGUUCGAUUCUGGCCGGUGCA